rnacentral:rRNA from 1 species
UACGUAGGGGGCUAGCGUUGUCCGGAAUCAUUGGGCGUAAAGCGCGCGUAGGCGGCCCGGUAAGUCCGCUCUGAAAGUCCAGGGCUCAACCCUGGAAAGCGGGUGGAUACUGCCGGGCUAGAAUCCGGAAGAGGCGAGUGGAAUUCCUGGUGUAGCGGUGGAAUGCGUAGAGAUCGGGAAGAACACCAGUGGCGAAGGCGGUCUGCUGGGCCGUUGCUGACGCUGAGGCGCGACAGCGUGGGGAGCAAACAGG